GCUGUUGUAGCUCAGUUGGUAGAGCAACUGAUUCGUAAUCAGUAGGCCGGAGGUUCGAUCCCCCCCAACAGCACCA
rnacentral:tRNA from 1 species